CACGUAGUUAGCCGUGGCUUUCUUGAAUGGUACAGUCAAUCUCUAAUCAUUUCCUAUUAGAGCCGUUCUUCCCAGACAACAGAACUUUACAAUCCAGAGGACCGUCAUCGUUCACGCGGCAUUGCUCGUUCAGGGUUUCCCCCAUUGACGAAUAUUCCUAACUGCUGUCUCCCGUAGGAGUCUGGGCCGUGUCUCAGUCCCAGUGUGGCCGAUCAACCUCUCAGUUCAGCUAUGCAUCGUUGACUUGGUAGGCUCUUACCCCACAACUAUCUAAUGCACCGCAGGCCCAUCUCUUAGCGAAGCUUUAAAGGCUUCCUUAUACCGUAGAUCACAUUCGGUAUUAACAAUCGUUCCUAAUUGUAUCCCAUACUAAGAGGUAGUAACCCACGUGUUACUCACCGUUGCCACUAGGU
rnacentral:rRNA from 1 species